AACGAACGCUGGCGGCAGGCUUAACACAUGCAAGUCGAACGCCCCGCAAGGGGAGUGGCAGACGGGUGAGUAACGCGUGGGAACAUACCCUUUUCUACGGAAUAGCUCUGGGAAACUGGAAUUAAUACCGUAUACGCCCUACGGGGGAAAGAUUUAUCGGGGAAGGAUUGGCCCGCGUUGGAUUAGCUAGUUGGUGGGGUAAAGGCCUACCAAGGCGACGAUCCAUAGCUGGUCUGAGAGGAUGAUCAGCCACAUUGGGACUGAGACACGGCCCAAACUCCUACGGGAGGCAGCAGUGGGGAAUAUUGGACAAUGGGCGCAAGCCUGAUCCAGCCAUGCCGCGUGAGUGAUGAAGGCCUUAGGGUUGUAAAACUCUUUCACCGAUGAAGAUAAUGACGGUAGUCGGAGAAGAAGCCCCGGCUAACUUCGUG
rnacentral:rRNA from 1 species